UUAUACGGUCAAAAAUAAAUAAAUUAUAUGGAUAAAUAUUGGAUUAAACUAUCCAAUCAUAUAUAACUAAAAUUAAAAUUUUAUAUAAAUAAUAAUUUUUUACUUUAAAAAUAUUCUGUAUAUUUUCUCAAGCAUACAAUUAAUAGCAAGGUAGGCAACGGCGGGCAUAUGCUGUUACUUGAUAACUUGGAGGGCUUCCGGCUUGGCCACUUAGGGUGAGAGACAGAAAAAGAGAAAGAGAGAAACAUAUUGAAAAUUUAGAGCUCUGUGAAAGAAAGA
rnacentral:lncRNA from 1 species